rnacentral:rRNA from 1 species
UUGACCUACGGGACGCAGCAGUGGGGGAUAUUGCACAAUGGGGGGAACCCUGAUGCAGCGACGCCGCGUGGGUGAAGGAGCGUUUCGGCGCGUAAAGCCCUAUCGGCAGGGAAGAAGAUGACGGUACCUGACCAAGGAACCCCGGCUAACUACGUGCCAGCAACCGCGGUAAUACGUAGGGGGCAAGCGUUAUCCGGAUUUACUGGGUGUAAAGGGGGCGCAGACGGGAAUGCAAGCCAGGAGUGAAAGCCCGGGGCCCAACCCCGGGACUG